rnacentral:lncRNA from 1 species
GGAAGAACACUGGAUGCAGAGUUAGAAACGUUAGCUAUCAGCUGUGAAAUCUUGGCUAAUCCCCCUCCCCCUGGGGAUUAUUUUCCUUAGUCGUACAAUGAAAACGCUGUGGUCAGCCGAGGAACACCUGGCAACUUUUCACAAAUGCUUCAGGAGCUGCUGUGGGGAAGAAGAGCAGAUUUCUCCGACUGUCAAGUGGGGUAGUCAAGGCCCUGGAUGGAACACGUAGGCGUGAAAUGAUAAAGAACGAGGAGAGCAGGCUUCCUAUCAAGCUAGGGCAAGGAAGGAAGGCUGCAGACCCAGAGGAAACAGAGAAUGAAGGAGCUCAUGGCUGUUUCUGCAUCCUCCAGCAUCUCCAAUCCAGGGGUUUCUGGAAGGAUUAGGCAGUUUCUGACUCCGAGAGCUGGAAAAGGGUAUCCUUACAGAAAACACAGUGACUCCUGGACCCUGAGAAACAUAAAAUGCAUGAGUAAAGUAACCCUGAAGAUCAUCCAAUACAAGGAUUUUAAACACUGUGUUUCAUGGAGCCUUAGGAGAGAUGCAAAGUGUGCUGCAGAAAUAAAGGCUUCAGACCUCUGUCUUUCGCUUCAAUGA